rnacentral:ncRNA from 1 species
AGUCUUCAGGGCGGGGUGCAAGUCCCCACCGGCGGUAUUUGAAGAACAGGGGAUGUAUCAGAAGAACCCCUCAAGCUUCUUAAGCCCGCGAGCCGCAAGGCAGGAACCAGUGAGACUCUGGUGCCGACAGUAUAGUCUGGAUGGAAGAAGAU